rnacentral:rRNA from 1 species
AACGCGAAGAACCUUACCUAGGCUUGACAUGCAGAGGACAGUACCAGAAAUGGUACCUCCCUUCGGGGCCUCUGCACAGGUGCUGCAUGGCUGUCGUCAGCUCGUGCCGUGAGGUGUUGGGUUAAGUCCCGCAACGAGCGCAACCCUUAUCGUUAGUUGCCAACAGUUUCGGCUGGGUACUCUAACGAGACUGCCUGGGUUAACCAGGAGGAAGGCGAGGAUGACGUCAAGUCCGCAUGGCCCUUAUGUCUAGGGCUACACACGUGCUACAAUGGUCGGUACAGAAGGCAGCAAAGCCGCGAGGUAGAGCAAAUCCUGAAAAGCCGAUCCCAGUUCAGAUUGUAGUCUGCAACUCGACUACAUGAAGUUGGAAUUGCUAGUAAUGGCGAGUCAGCAACAUCGCCGUGAAUACGUUCCCGGGCCUUGUACACACCGCGAGC